rnacentral:rRNA from 1 species
GGGUUGUGAGGUUAAGCGACUAAGCGUACACGGUGGAUGCCCUGGCAGUCAGAGGCGAUGAAGGGCGUGCUAAUCUGCGAUAAGCGCCGGUAAGGUGAUAUGAACCGUUAUAACCGGCGAUACCCGAAUGGGGAAACCCAGUGUGACUCGUCACACUAUCAUUAACUGAAUCCAUAGGUUAAUGAGGCGAACCGGGGGAACUGAAACAUCUAAGUACCCCGAGGAAAAGAAAUCAACCGAGAUUCCCCCAGUAGCGGCGAGCGAACGGGGAGGAGCCCAGAGCCUGAAUCAGCAUGUGUGUUAGUGGAAGCGUCUGGAAAGGCGCGCGAUACAGGGUGAUAGCCCCGUACACAAAAGCGCAUGUGUUGUGAGCUCGAUGAGUAGGGCGGGACACGUGGUAUCCUGUCUGAAUAUGGGGGGACCA